GAACAAACGAAAAAACGAAAAAAGAACAAGAAAAAAAAGAAGAAAGAAAAAAGAAAGAGAAAAAGAAGAAGCAGAAAGAAGAAAAAGAAAAAAAAAAGAAAAAGAAGAAGAAAAAGAAAAGAAAGAAAAAAGAGAAAGAGAAAGAGACAGGAAGAGCCGAAGUUCAAGCUGCAAGCGCCCUGGAGAGGUCGGUAAAAUGCCAGGUCACAAAGGGCAGGCCUGUGGUCUUGGCAGAGGUAUCAUCCUGUGUCUGUGCGGUGGAUGCGUGACCAAGAGGGGAAAAAGAACAGGUGAGAGGAGAUGACCGCCGUGUUAGGAGCCAGAGUGAGUCUCAGGAUUGUCAUCUGUCAUUUUCCCUAUUCAAUUCUUCGGGCACCUCUGUUGUAAAGUAAGUGACCGUAUCUAUAUAUAUGAUUUUAUAUAUAUAUAUAUGAUUU
rnacentral:lncRNA from 1 species